rnacentral:rRNA from 1 species
CCUACGGGUGGCAGCAGUGAGGAAUAUUGGUCAAUGGCCGGAAGGCUGAACCAGCCAAGCCGCGUGAAGGACGAAGGUGCCAAGCAUUGUAAACUUCUUUUGUCAAGGGACAAAAUCAGGCUCGAGAGCCUGACCGAGGGUACUUUAAGAACAAGCAUCGGCUAACUCCGUGCCAGCAGCCGCGGUAAUACGGAGGAUGCGAGCGUUAUCCGGAUUUAUUGGGUUUAAAGGGUGCGUAGGCGGACUGUUAAGUCAGCGGUAAAAGCCCGGGGCUCAACCCCGGCCUGCCGUCGGAACUGGGUGCCUUGAGUGGGCGAGAAGUAUGCGGAAUGCGUGGUGUAGCGGUGAAAUGCAUAGAUAUCACGCAGAACCCCGAUUGCGAAGGCAGCAUACCGGCGCCCUACUGACGCUGAGGCACGAAAGUGUGGGUAUCGAACAGGAUUAGAUACCCUUGUAGUC